rnacentral:rRNA from 1 species
CCUACGGGAGGCUGCAGUGGGGAAUAUUGCACAAUGGGGGAAACCCUGAUGCAGCGACGCCGCGUGCGUGAAGAAGUAUCUCGGUAUGUAAAGCUCUAUCAGCAGGGAAGAAAAUGACGGUACCUGAUUAAGAAGCCCCGGCUAAAUACGUGCCAGCAGCCGCGGUACUACGUAGGGGGCAAGCGUCAUCCGGAUUUCCUGGGUGUUAAGGGAGGGUAGACGGCAGGACAAGUCUGGAGUGAAAUGCCGGGGCUUAACCCCGGAACUGCUUUGGAAACUGUGCGGCUAGAGUGCAGGAGAGGUAAGUGGAAUUCGUGGUGUAGCGGUGAAAUGCGUAGAUAUUAGGAGGAACACCAGUGGCGAAGGCGGCUUACUGGACUGUAACUGACGUUGAGGCUCGAAAGCGUGGGGAGCAAACAGGAUUAGAUACCCCAGUAGUC